rnacentral:rRNA from 1 species
GCACUCCGCCUGGGGAGUACGGCCGCAAGGCUGAAACUCAAAGGAAUUGACGGGGGCCCGCACAAGCGGUGGAGCAUGUGGUUUAAUUCGAAGCAACGCGAAGAACCUUACCAGGUCUUGACAUCCUUUGACCACUCUAGAGAUAGAGCUUUCCCUUCGGGGACAAAGUGACAGGUGGUGCAUGGUUGUCGUCAGCUCGUGUCGUGAGAUGUUGGGUUAAGUCCCGCAACGAGCGCAACCCUUAUUGUUAGUUGCCAUCAUUCAGUUGGGCACUCUAGCGAGACUGCCGGUGACAAACCGGAGGAAGGUGGGGAUGACGUCAAAUCAUCAUGCCCCUUAUGACCUGGGCUACACACGUGCUACAAUGGACAGUACAAUGAGUUGCGAGACCGCGAGGUUUAGCUAAUCUCUUAAAGCUGUUCUCAGUUCGGAUUGCAGGCUGCAACUCGCCUGCAUGAAGCCGGAAUCGCUAGUAAUCGCGGAUCAGAACGCCGCGGUGAAUACGUUCCCGGGCCUUGUACACACCGCCCGUCACACCACGAGAGUUUGUAACACCCAAAGUCGGUGAGGUAACCUUCGGGAGCCAGCCGCCUAAGGUGGGAUGGAUGAUUGGGGUGAAGUCGUAACAAGGUAGCCGUAUCGGAAGGUGCGGCUG